AACGCUAGCUACAGGCUUAACACAUGCAAGUCGAGGGGCGGCGCGUUGAGUAGCAAUACGAUAUGGCGGCGACCGGCGCACGGGUGCGUAACAGGUGUGCAAUCUGUCCAUAAUCGGGGAAUAGCCCGGCGAAAGCCGGAUUAACGCUCCAUGUGAGUAACCACCGCAUGAUGGUUAUUUGAAACGUUAAGGAUUAUGGUUGAGCACGCUUCUGAUUAGGUAGUUGGUGAGGUAACGGCUCACCAAGCCGACGAUCAGUAGGGGUUCUGAGAGGAAGGUCCCCCACAUUGGAACUGAGACACGGUCCAAACUCCUACGGGAGGCAGCAGUGAGGAAUAUUGGUCAAUGGACGGAAGUCUGAACCAGCCAAGUAGCGU
rnacentral:rRNA from 1 species